rnacentral:rRNA from 1 species
UACGGGGGGGCAAGCGUUGUUCGGAAUUACUGGGCGUAAAGGGCGCGUAGGCGGCUUGUUAAGUCAGGGGUGAAAUCCUGGAGCUCAACUCCAGAACUGCCUUUGAUACUGAAGAUCUUGAGUUCGGGAGAGGUGAGUGGAACUGCGAGUGUAGAGGUGAAAUUCGUAGAUAUUCGCAAGAGCACCAGUGGCGAAGGCGGCUCACUGGCCCGAUACUGACGCUGAGGCACGAAAGCGUGGGGAGCAAACAAG